rnacentral:rRNA from 1 species
AAUACUAGAGUUUGAUCCUGGCUCAGAUUGAACGCUGGCGGCAGGCUUAACACAUGCAAGUCGAGCGGGGAAGGGUAGCUUGCUACCUGACCUAGCGGCGGACGGGUGAGUAAUGCUUAGGAAUCUGCCUAUUAGUGGGGGACAACAUUCCGAAAGGAAUGCUAAUACCGCAUACGCCCUACGGGGGAAAGCAGGGGAUCUUCGGACCUUGCGCUAAUAGAUGAGCCUAAGUCAGAUUAGCUAGUUGGUGGGGUAAAGGCCUACCAAGGCGACGAUCUGUAGCGGGUCUGAGAGGAUGAUCCGCCACACUGGGACUGAGACACGGCCCAGACUCCUACGGGAGGCAGCAGUGGGGAAUAUUGGACAAUGGGCGAAAGCCUGAUCCAGCCAUGCCGCGUGUGUGAAGAAGGCCUUUUGGUUGUAAAGCACUUUAAGCGAGGAGGAGGCUACUUGGAUUAAUACUCUAGGAUAGUGGACGUUACUCGCAGAAUAAGCACCGGCUAACUCUGUGCCAGCAGCCGCGGUAAUACAGAGGGUGCGAGCGUUAAUCGGAUUUACUGGGCGUAAAGCGUGCGUAGGCGGCUUUUUAAGUCGGAUGUGAAAUCCCUGAGCUUAACUUAGGAAUUGCAUUCGAUACUGGGAAGCUAGAGUAUGGGAGAGGAUGGUAGAAUUCCAGGUGUAGCGGUGAAAUGCGUAGAGAUCUGGAGGAAUACCGAUGGCGAAGGCAGCCAUCUGGCCUAAUACUGACGCUGAGGUACGAAGCAUGGGGAGCAAACAGGAUUAGAUACUCUGGUAGUCCAUGCCGUAACGAUGUCUACUAGCCGUUGGGGCCUUUGAGGCUUUAGUGGCGGCAGCUAAC